rnacentral:lncRNA from 1 species
AAAUAAAAAGUUUUGGGGAAUAAAAGUUUGAGGGAAAGUAAAUAGGGGGAAGUAAAAUUUUGGAGGGAAAAUAUUUUUAAAAAAAAAUUGAAGGGGGGAGGGUUUGGGGUAAAUGAGAGGUGGGAUGGGAAGGGAAUAAAAGUUUUAGGGGAAAAGUGGGAGAGAGUAAAACUUUGGGGGAAAAUAAAAGGUUUUAAGGGUUUUGGGGAGUAAAAUUUUGAGAAAAAGUAAAUGGGAGAGUAAAAUUUUGGUGGGAAAUGGAUUUUGGGUAGAUUAGAGGGUUGGGAGUGGAGGAGAGUAAAAGUUUUGGGGGGAAAGUGGGAAGGAGUAAAAGUUUUGAGGGAAAAGUAAAAAGGUUUGAGAGUUUGGGGUAAAAAUGUAAAAUAUUAUAGUUUGAUAUUCAAAUUAUUCGAAUUAUUCGAGUUAUUCGAAUUCGAAAACUCAACUCGAUUCGAACUCGAAAUUUGAAAAAAAAAUUCGAGUUGAUUCGAUUAACUCAAAU